rnacentral:rRNA from 1 species
GUGGGGAAUUUUGGACAAUGGGGGCAACCCUGAUCCAGCCAUUCCGCGUGAGUGAAGAAGGCCUUCGGGUUGUAAAGCUCUUUCAGCCGGAACGAAACGGUACGCUCUAACAUAGCGUGCUAAUGACGGUACCGGCAGAAGAAGCACCGGCUAACUACGUGCCAGCAGCCGCGGUAAUACGUAGGGUGCGAGCGUUAAUCGGAAUUACUGGGCGUAAAGCGUGCGCAGGCGGAUUGUUAAGCAAGACGUGAAAUCCCCGGGCUUAACCUGGGAAUGGCGUUUUGAACUGGCAGUCUAGAGUGUGUCAGAGGGGGGUGGAAUUCCACGUGUAGCAGUGAAAUGCGUAGAGAUGUGGAGGAACACCAAUGGCGAAGGCAGCCCCCUGGGAUAACACUGACGCUCAUGUACGAAAGCGUGGGUAGCAAACAGGAUUAGAUACCCUUGUAGUCC